rnacentral:rRNA from 1 species
GCCUUAGAUGUUCUGGGCCGCACACGCGCUACACUGAAGGAGGCAGCGUGUACUCCUGGAUCGAAAGAUUUGGGUAACCCGCGAAUCUCCUUCGUGCUAGGGAUUGAGGUUUGCAAUUAUCCUUCAUGAACGAGGAAUUCCCAGUAAGUGCAAGUCAUAAGCUUGCGCUGACUACGUCCCUGCCCUUUGUACACACCGCCCGUCGCUACUACCGAUUGAAUGAUUUAGUGAGGACUUCGGACUGGGACCGAUGCGGCUUUCGGGCUGCGUCGGUAUUCUGGAAAGAUGUCCAAACUGUNUNAUUUAGNGGAAGUAAAANUCGUANCA